GCGUGUGCCCACCACCAGACCAGAGCCCCAGCGUCCUACAAGGCUACGACAACCUUUGGCUGUUCCUUGCCCCAAGGUGCCAGCAUCCUAGAACACGAAGCAUGGCAAAAGAUGGAAGUAUAUAUAGGCCUCAUCUGCAGGGAAGGGAAGGUUAAUGUUCUGACCGGGCUUCUUUGUUGCUGGGGAAGGCGCGGUGCGUGUUUCAGAUUGAGUUUCUAAUGUGUUGCCAUGGACGAAAGGUGAGAUGAUCUGGAAACAAAUGUUUCCUGGAGCACCAAUCCCCUGCCUGAUAAAGCAAACGAAAAGUGGUUAGUUGAUAUUCCUGUGGUUUAUCCAAGCAUCAUAUACCCACUUUUUUCUCCACUCAAAAGUCAAAGGCACAGUAAUCUCAAGUUUUCAACGAUGUCGGAACUCAAAAGGGUGUGCCAUAUGCAUGUCAAUGUGCAAAACGCAUUGUACCGCGUCAUCAGGGGGCAAAAAAGGAAGUGAUAGUAUUUUCUCACAAUGUCUUUCAAAAAAUCUGCUAUUUUUGUGGAUCGAGGCCAAUUGUGCUGGCAAUGGGGGCCUCAAUCAAAGUGACAAUCCUAGACAAGGAACCAGAUUUUGCAGAGCUGCAUUUGGAAUACGAAACAGCUUAGCUCAUUGCAACGAUCAGUGGGUGAUUCUUCAGUGAUUGGGCACAAUAAGUAAAAAUAAUUCACAUUCAAAUACAAGCCACAAAAUCAAGCAAAUCUGUGAGAUUCUAGUCUAGAUAACAAAAGCAGGAGGGCAAAUGAAACAGGAACAGGGGAGCCCUACUAGAUGCAGAUCAAUCAAGAAUGAUAAGCCCCUAAUCCAGCUGUGGAGCGCCACCCUGAGUAACUAACACGAGAAUUAUUACCUCUACAGAGAGUACAGACAAGUCUAUCAGCCAAACCUGCCUUGUGAAAAAGGUAAUGCAGUUUGUAGACCAAUAUCUAGAUUAACGAAUCAAUAUACUGAGCUAGAUUGCGGAAGAGUAAUGUCAUUAAUUUUACAAUCUCAGUUUAAUUUCUAAAAGUUCAGCCAUAAGCAUCUUUGGCAUCUUAAAACAAGAAACAUGUCUGGACCCUGGAUAGCCACCAAACACUCAGGUUUGAUUUCUUAUAUUUUUGCAAGUUUCCUAACCUGUCAAAUAUCAGGAGCUCCGGUACAACAGAACAGCAUCAUUGCCAAGACUCUGAAACUAAGUCAUAGGCUUCUAAUGGAGGUUCAUACAUUUAUGGUGGAGAUGCCUAAUGAGGAAUUAUGGACUAUCAAGUCCUGGCUAUUUUGUAGUAUCAGGUGUAAGCAUCGGAAAACAAAGAUAUCACCAUAUGUCCUUUCUUGUGGGAAAAUGCUUCGUUCAAUAUCAUAUGAUAUGCCAAGAUUUGUGGAGAAGUCCAGUCCAUGGAAAAUUGUCAUACCAUUCUGUUGCAGGCCUAAUUGACAGAAUACCAUCCAAAGUUGUGACAUUGUCAAAGAGACAUUGGUUGUGUGUGUCACAGCUGACGUCCCAACAUCGGAUGGCAUUUUGGCAAGUGAGUUCCAACAUAAUGCUUUGAUGGCAAAUUAAUGGAUCACUCACAACUGCUGCUGCUACCUUCAAGCAAACAGGGAAGAAAAAUUAGCUAUGUCUACAGUACGGAAGUCCAGAUAGCAAGAGAAAAUUCGUUAUCAGGCAGGAUGGUAAUAUGCAAGCUGUGUCCAAGUUUGCAGGAUACCAUGAGGCAAAAAAGAAAGAAGAAAAAGGGAGACACAGGUAUUAUCGUUUUAACAAAAUCAAAGCUCAAGAAGCAGGAAAAGGCCUAUGAAAUGCUGAGGUUUUGGUUAGCAUAUAUGUUGGACAGAAGCACACCAGCACCUCCUUUGUAUGAGCAGACUGAAUCAAUCUUACUGAGCACGAGCUCCCCAAUCUCCAAUUCAUUAUUGAUACUGCAUGCACUCAGCAGGGCCCCA